UGAGUAACACGUAUGCAACCUGCCCGUCACAGGGGGAUAACACUGAGAAAUUGGUACUAAUACCCCAUAAUAUCUCAUGCGGCAUCGCAUGGGGUUGAAAACUCCGGUGGUUGAUGAUGGGCAUGCGUUGUAUUAGCUGGUUGGUGAGGUAACGGCUCACCAAGGCGACGAUACAUAAGGGGACUGAGAGGUUAACCCCCCACAUUGGUACUGAGACACGGACCAAACUCCUACGGGAGGCAGCAG
rnacentral:rRNA from 1 species